rnacentral:rRNA from 1 species
UCAAUUCAAAAUUGCUCUGGUGAUCAAUUCAAGCUUGCUGUGAUUGGCGAGAAGACGUCCUGGUCAAUCACCACAUCUGCAGCACAUGCGGUGCUACUGCUGCUGUUGGUCAGUGCGGGGAGGAGCACGGGCGGAGGUCAAUUGGCCGGAUCCGGAGCUCCAGUGCCUGAAUCGAGGAGUUGGAAGGCUGAGGCAGGAGGAGGAGGAGCACGGGCUGCGCUGCUGCUGCUGUUGGUCGGUGUGGGGAGGAGCACGGACGGAGGUCAAUUGGCCGGAUCCGGAGCUCCAGUGCCUGAAUCGAGGAGCUGGAAAGCUCAGGUAGGAGGAAGAGCAAGGGCGGCGCUGCUGCUGGUCGGUGCGGGGAGGAGCACGGGCGGCGCGACGGCCAAGAGUCGCGGGCGGCUGGAGGCUGUGGCGGACGGCGAGGGAGCUGCGUAUGAGUUUGGGCUCUCGAUUGGAGCGGAGGAAGGCGGCCGGCGAGGGUGCUACGGUCGGCGCGGACGGACGCCGGAGCUGCAGCAGUGGGGUGGAGCCUGGCGGAGGGGAGGAGCGAUGGAGGAAGACGGAGAUCCCCAGCGACAAGAAUUUCAAAUUGAGGGUAGUUUGGUACUUUUUCAUGUUUUCACCUGGUCGGAGAAGUUCCCCAACGACAAAUCUUCUAUAUCUAAAUAA